UACGGAGGAUCCAAGCGUUAUCCGGAUUUAUUGGGUUUAAAGGGUGCGUAGGCGGACUGUCAAGUCAGCGGUAAAAUUGAGAGGCUCAACCUCUUCCCGCCGUUGAAACUGGUGGUCUUGAGUGGAUGAGAAGUACGCGGAAUGCGUGGUGUAGCGGUGAAAUGCAUAGAUAUCACGCAGAACUCCGAUUGCGAAGGCAGCGUACCGGCAUCCAACUGACGCUGAGGCACGAAAGCGUGGGGAUCAAACAGG
rnacentral:rRNA from 1 species